CCUGGCAAUGAUGUUAGAGCUACAGUGCUGCUUUAGAAGACUACUGCUUAUGAGAAGGGUCUGACAAAGUUAGAUGAGCCUGAAGUUCUCAGGGAUUCAUUUUCCUGCAUGUGGGCUCCAACCAAAAGUGUACAGGAAAGUGACAUUUGAGAUUGAAGUGCUAGUGGGAUGGCAAAAGAAGCUGCAAGAGAAAACAGGCUCCUAGGAGGUGUCUGGAGCCAAAAGAAUUGGGAGUAAAAGUUCGCACCUUUUAAUUGCGUGUUGGCAAUUGCUGUGUUUUUUUGCUAUGCUCUUGGUGAAAUGGGAGAAGAGAUGGACAAAGUUUUCUGAGAGUUAAAGUACAAGUUAAGACAGAAAAAAGGUAGGGAGGCAGGGGGACAGCAGCGUGCUCAAAUGUUUCCUGGAAAAUACUUGUGCAGAAAGAAGGAAGCAAAGAGUCAGCAGAGGACAGACCAAAAGACAAGCUGUGAUGGCUGAGGGGGAAACACUCUUGGAAAAACCAACUUCCUCUCAUACAAGAACUUAAAAUCUAAAUGCUCCGUUCUUCUUGUAGAUGCUGAAGAAGUUGGGGUAUUUACUGUAGACAUGAGAUGCUGGGAUGGAUUUCAUGGUGAUGAUGUCCAUGGCAGGAGCUCUGAACUGAUUUCUCUUUCACAGCCUCAUGCACACAUAAAAAAAAGUUAAUGUAGGCCACUCCUACUUCUCUGAGAAAUCAUGGGGAAGAGGGCUGUCACUCUGCCAAGUUCCUGAGUUCUAUGAUCUUUGUUGUACCUGGCCUUUGUGCAGACCACAAAGGGUUUUUCUUUUUCUCGUGCUUGUGUAACUCUGUGUUGCCUGGAACAGCUGAGAAUCCUUGACAUAUAUGGCUGCAAGUCAAAGGUUCUUUUCGUAUAAAAGAUGAUUCUCUGUAAGGAUAAGUGGCAACGUACUGUAUUUGCAUCUUAUCAGCCACU